rnacentral:rRNA from 1 species
GACGAACGCUGGCGGCGUGCUUAACACAUGCAAGUCGAACGGAAAGGCCCUGCUUUUGUGGGGUGCUCGAGUGGCGAACGGGUGAGUAACACGUGAGUAACCUGCCCUUGACUUUGGGAUAACUUCAGGAAACUGGGGCUAAUACCGGAUAGGAGCUCCUGCUGCAUGGUGGGGGUUGGAAAGUUUCGGCGGUUGGGGAUGGACUCGCGGCUUAUCAGCUUGUUGGUGGGGUAGUGGCUUACCAAGGCUUUGACGGGUAGCCGGCCUGAGAGGGUGACCGGCCACAUUGGGACUGAGAUACGGCCCAGACUCCUACGAGAGGCAGCAGUGGGGAAUAUUGCACAAUGGGCGGAAGCCUGAUGCAGCAACGCCGCGUGCGGGAUGACGGCCUUCGGGUUGUAAACCGCUUUCGCCUGUGACGAAGCGUGAGUGACGGUAAUGGGUAAAGAGGCACCGGCUAACUACGUG